rnacentral:rRNA from 1 species
GAUGAACGCUAGCGGGAGGCCUAACACAUGCAAGCCGAGCGGUAGAGUCUCUUCGGAGACUUGAGAGCGGCGCACGGGUGCGGAACACGUGUGCAACCUGCCUUUAUCUGGGGGAUAGCCUUUCGAAAGGAAGAUUAAUACCCCAUAAUAUACUGGAUGGCAUCAUCUGGUAUUGAAAACUCCGGUGGAUAGAGAUGGGCACGCGCAAGAUUAGAUAGUUGGUGAGGUAACGGCUCACCAAGUCAGCGAUCUUUAGGGGGCCUGAGAGGGUGAUCCCCCACACUGGUACUGAGACACGGACCAGACUCCUACGGGAGGCAGCAGUGAGGUAUAGUGGACAAUGGGUGAGAGCCUGAUCCAGCCAUCCCGCGUGAAGGACGACGGCCCUAUGGGUUGUAAACUUCUUUUGUAUAGGGAUAAACCUAGAUACGUGUAUCUAGCUGAAGGUACUAUACGAAUAAGCACCGGCUAACUCCGUG